rnacentral:rRNA from 1 species
UGAGGAAUAUUGGACAAUGGGCGCAAGCCUGAUCCAGCCAUACCGCGUGAGUGAAGAAGGCCUUCGGGUUGUAAAGCUCUUUCAGACGGAAAGAAACGGUCGCGGCCAAUACCCGCGACUAAUGACGGUACCGUAAGAAGAAGCACCGGCUAACUACGUGCCAGCAGCCGCGGUAAUACGUAGGGUGCGAGCGUUAAUCGGAAUUACUGGGCGUAAAGCGUGCGCAGGCGGUUUGGUAAGACAGAUGUGAAAUCCCCGGGCUUAACCUGGGAACUGCAUUUGUGACUGCCAGACUAGAGUGUAGCAGAGGGGGGUAGAAUUCCACGUGUAGCAGUGAAAUGCGUAGAUAUGUGGAGGAAUACCGAUGGCGAAGGCAGCCCCCUGGGCUAACACUGACGCUCAUGCACGAAAGCGUGGGGAGCAAACAGGAUUAGAUACCCACGUAGUCCCUGAGCGGGCUGGCAAGGCGCAU